GUCUACAAGUUUGAGCAAUAUAUUACCUCAGUAUAGAACUAUAUUACUUCUUGAAAAUGUUGGUCUGAUUUUGUUCGUUGUGGUCUGCCAUAUGAUUAUAUUUUUUACUCCUCCAGGUCUUGGUUGAAUGAUUCGAUUUAUAGAGGCCAUUACACAAGUUCUGUUUUCACAUGAUUUUGCUAGAUCAGAUACAAAUAGAAGAAGUGGUUCAAGGAUAACCAUCUGUACGGAUGGUGGAAUUUAAAAUUAUGGGACUUCGUCAUAUUAAUCUCACACCUACUCCUCAACUGAGGAGCAGGUGCCUCACAGGGUUUGUAGCGUUCAUGGAGAUGCAGUUGUUUAUAAUGGAUUUUUAGUUCACCCCCAUGUUAUUUAUGAGACUAUGGAAGAAAUUAACGAACAGACUGAAAGCAUGAAACAGAUACAAGAUGCUUUGUCAGCUCCUAUUGGAGCAUCUGCUGAUUUUGACGAGGAUGAGCUGGAAGAACUGGAAGGAGCAGAGUUGGAAAAUCAACUACUUGAGCCUAUACCUUACCAUCAGCAGUCACAGAUGAUCGGUGUUCCACCACGUGAUAUUGUCAGUGCAUCCAAAAGUUCAAUUUGCAUUUAUCUAUGGUGAUAAAUGUCUGGUAGAUUUUCAUGUUCUGGUGUUUUACGCCGCUGCAGCAGGACAUCUCGGAGGCGUGUCUCCAAUUGCAAGUUGUCUGCUAGAAGUUCCUAUUCUGGUGUGAAGAAUUGAAUGCACAAGGAUACCAUGUACCAUUUCCAUGUUCACCUAUGAUCGAUUUAGUUGUUCAAUAUAGCCUUUUAGAAAGUGCUUAUAAUUUUGGAAUCUGCCGAGGGGGUAUGUAUAAAUUGCUGUUUAAUCCUGUAGUGGUCUGAUUUAUAUCGAUUGUUUUCUCAUUACGUCUGGGAUCUAAUUGUCAUAUUAUUAUGCACUGAAUCUUAUCUGUUUGGAAUUUCAAUACGGAAACCAUUGAAUGGUA